rnacentral:snoRNA from 10 species
GAGCGAAGGUCCCAGCAGAGGGGAGGAUAACUCUGAGAUUGAGACCCCUCUAACUUUUAAUUAAAUCCUUCGCAGAUUUAGCUGCCGAAUCGUAGGACGCCCAAAUCGUUAUUAGUUUUGGAUCGUCUUGAACCCUCGGCAACAUUCGU